GGCCUGAUGGUCUAGUAGUAUGAUUCCUUGUUAGGGUUAUUCGACCAAUUCGAGGAGGUCCCGGGUUCAAUUCCCGGUCAGGCCC